rnacentral:lncRNA from 1 species
AUGCGUAACGGACAUGUGAAGGAGACCCUCAACCCCUUUCCUGUUUCGAGUGCCCUCGAAUGCUCAGGACUCACGGCAGGACCUCGGCAGCUUGCAGGAGCCAAGCCCACCGUCUUCAGAAGGCAGCCUCGAGGCCUUCCUGUUUGUCCUUUAGGUCAGAGGCCUCCCAUCAGGGGUCUCCCAUCUGUUGCCUCCUGCAGCGGAGAGGUGAGCAUGUGAGCCAAGCUCCUCUCGUGCCAGGGCUUGGAAUCUUGAGCAGACUGGCUCAAGCCUGAAGAACAAUUGGGGUCCUGUGCCUCUCCCACCUGGAGCUGCCCUGCCCUGUGCUUCCCAAGCGUGGUUCUCCAGCCUCCCUGGCGUCCCUGACCUUCUGUGAGCUCCUCACCUGUGUGCCUUCCCUUCAACACCUUGUCUGCUACAAAAACCAACAAAAACCCUUAAGUGAUACCAAAGCUACGUGGUUAUUCAGGUGCAAAGUAAACAGAGACACUUGGCAGUGGUAAUGGUACCGGGGGAGGAAGAUCUGAGAGGCAGAAUCCACACCGCUUAGGAACCAACUGGGGAGGAAGUAGCAGGGGAGUGGGAGGAAGGAGGCUGGGAUGGCUUCCAGGACCCAGGGAGGGAACAGAAAAGGGGAAGCAGCAGGGAGUGGGCGGGAGAGGAACAUCCCGUCCCUGUGAACUGCCAAACGCUGUGUCACAUUCUGGUCCGCAGGUGUCCAUGGCCAGUCUGGCAUUUAGCAAAACAUCUGAGUGGGAGAUGUAGAUGUGCCAGCGUCAGGUAUGGGUGUUGCCAGGUGCUGUGGCUUUGAAGGUGAUAGCCUCGGGAGAGCAAGUGUGAGAAGAGCAGAGGCUGCAGGCGGAGGCCCAGGGAAUGUGAAAGUCUAGAGGAAGUGGACAAGAGGAGAGCAGGAAACAGGCAGGAGGGGGUCACAGAAGCCAAGUCGGCAUGGGUUUCCAGGGGAAAGUGGUCCACAGGGUGGAAGGCCAUAGAGACGUAAGGUGCAGACCAGAAGGAUGACCAGAUUGGGCAACUAGGGGGUGAUUGGCAGCUUCAGGACAAAUCGUUCUCAUGAAGUGCUGCAGAUGCAUUUGAGGCAUGUCGUUACCCAUGCCCUCAGCAACCAAACAGAAAUAGUCUGGGUGGCUCCCAUCCUGGGUGCCCAUGCUUGUUGCUUUGCCUUGGUGGAAGACCAACCCUGAGUCAUAUCUGGACACCUCCUGUUAUGGACUGCGUGUUUGCGUUCUCCUCCUUAAUUCAUACCCAGAAACCACAACCCCCGAUGGCACGGUAUUUGGAAAAGCAAGGUCGGUGGGAGGUGAUUAGGUCAUGAGUGUGGAGCCUUCAUGAAUGGGAUUGGUGCCUUUCUAAAACAGACCCAGAAAGAUGACCUCUCUCUGCUAUGUGAAGAUACAAAGAAAAGCCGGCCGUCUGUACACCAGGAAGCAAGCCCUCCCCAGAACCUGGCUGUGGCAGCACCUGGAUCCUAGCCUCCAGCCUCCAGAACUGUGAGAGGUAAAUUUCUGUUGUCUGAGCUGUCAGUCUACGGUGUUGGGCUAUCACAGCCUGAACAGACAGAGAUGCCUCAUUGAGGCCGAGCUCCUGGGUGGGCCACAUGGGUGUGGACUGGACACUCUGCAUUUGGCCACCAGAUUUGGCCCCCUGAAGGUCUUUAGUCCAUUGUCAGGGCUGGUCCCUGGACUUCUUGGGACUCUGGAUCCAGUCCCCAGAGACUUCUACAUCCUCCACUCACGACCUGUAGGGGCUGAAGCGGAGCUGGCCAGGUUGCAGAGCAUUGCGGAGUGGAUGGAGUAGCAAGCCCUGGCUAGCCUCUUUUGAUGUUUGACUGGUUAAGGGAGGGUGUUCUUAUGGGAGAAUUUAUAGUGCUAUUAAUUUAAAAAUAAACUAAUAACAUUUUGUAAGUAAUUUUGCAUAUUUUUUCAUUUAACAUAAUAUCUUUUAUAUGACUUUAUAAACGACUCCUUAUAACAUAGUUUCAGUGAGUGCAUACAAUUCCAUUGUAAUAUCUCCCUCAAAGCUUCCGAGGGCCACCGGAGCGAUGGGAACCCGAGGGGCCGAGGGUGCAGGCCAGGCUCUGGGGAGCAAAUGUGGGCUCAGGCUGGACGGGGCUGCUGCUGGGGAUGGGGGACUGCAUGGUGUCAGCAGCCACACGAGAUUAGGGCGACCUGGUGGGUCUCAAACACUCGGCCUGCUCCCUGCUGAAGACAUUUGCUGAACGUUGAGGCUGUGCUGGGCAGGAAGAGAAAAAGCUAAACUAAUCGUGUCUGAAUCUCAUCGUGGAAUUUUCUGCAGUCUGUCAGUGUGAGGACAAGGCCUUGAGCUCAAGGACUGGGAAGCCCACCAGGUGCUUGUGAAACCCCUCGAGAGCCACACUUGUCAACUUCAUGGGCUUGGUAAGCCUCGGUUAACAUCAAUUCCUCCAAAUCUCCAUGUCUCCUUCCUCUUGAGGAUUUCUCCAUCAGCGAUUCCCUCUGUCUUGGCCACUCUUCCCCCUCUCUGUGUCUCCUCAACCCAUCUGUUUCCCAGGUCUCAUUUCAUAUAAGCCACUUCCUCAGGGAGACUUUCCCCAAGCCUUCCUCUGUCCCCAUCUGAUCCCAUCUGUGUUUUGUGUGAUCUGAGGUCAUCAUUCCCUCCACCUUUCCCUCACAGCACUUUUCUCCAUUUGUAAAUGUCCUGGAUAUGUUUGCUCGAUCAUUUGAGUCAUGCCUGUUACGUGAAUAAGAUCAUAGUCAUAUUGUUCUCAACUUUAGUGUACUGAAGAGUCACAUGGUGCCAAUUAGAAU